ensembl:lncRNA
UUUUUUAAUGUCUCUAACCUUAUAUACUUGUACCUGUGUUUCAGGUCAUAACUCAUUUCAAGCCCAGUUGUGAAAGCUUAAAGCUACACUCAGGCUCAAGCCUAGGUCGCAGUUUAGGAUAUGCAGAAGAAGAAAUCUCAGGUGCUCCCAGUCCCCUGGCAUAGCUCUGCAGCAACAACCAGCCAUUUGCCUUUCUGGCAAUGCCACAUGUCUAGGACAGUCCUUCAAUCUCAUGUUGCUAAGACAGAUGGGUUAAGCAAUCAGGGCUGCUGGCAAAUCCAACAGCUCAGUCCUGAGAAGAGCAGGGGGCAGGAUACACACCACCCUGAGAAUACUCCACCCAUAUUGUCAGAAACGACAUCAUCAGUACUGCCAGUAUAAUCCAUGGAGAGACAGUUUGCUUGUUGUAUUUUACUUUUUAUAUGGGUUUUCUACAAGUUCCACUAAUUUUCUGCUAAUUUCCUUUCAUGUAGCACAAAAUAUGUACAGCCAUAUGGCAACAGUUCUGUCACCAAAAUUCUCUACAGGAGAUUCAUAACAAUUAAAGGCUUUUUUUGUCUUGUUCUUUCAAGAAAUACUAAUUAAAUCAGCCUGCUUAUGUAAUGCAAAAAACCAUGGCAUUUGCAUAUUACUUUUCAUACCACCAUAUGUCCAAAUCUGAAUUGGUCUCAAGCUAAGGGGUCUUCCAGCGAUAUCUUUAAAAAAAGAGCCUUAAGAUGUUAGCCAGACAAAGAAGCCUCUGACAGUUUAGUAGCUGAAAAAGAACACUUGGGCCAUAUUAAUUAAUGCUAAGUAUGUUUUUUUGAGGAUGACAGAAUUCUGAUGCUCAUGAGAUCUCCUAGAGGAGGUUUUUUUAUUAAAACACUCCACUAAACCUUAAAGUUGCCACUACUGCCUUAAAGAACCAGCACUUUCAGGAUGUGUAGCCCAAACUGUCUUUUCUCUCUAAAGCUUAAGGUCCAACAGGCAGUUUUUAAGUACACUAUGAAAGACUUUUCUUUUGCACUGUGAAGCAUCUAAAGACAGCAUAACAGUAGACAGAAGUGGGCAUUAUCAUCUUCUAUUUACAGUAGGGGAACUAAGAUAGAUUAACUGCCUCACACACUUCUCACAAAAGCAGCAAAGAAUAGCCCCUGGAAUGAUCCUUCAAUUUACCUUAAACACUGUGUUAGAAAACUCUUUUUUUUUUCCUGCCUGAAGAUUUUCUUCAUUAUGAGAUAGUUUGAGAGGUCUUUUUCAGUUCCAAUUAUUUUUUAAGAAAAUUAAGCAAUUUCUUUAGAUUUUUGGUUUUAUAUUAUCCUUACCGUUUCUGACAUCCUCUUGCAGUUUGGCAAAUAAAUACCUUUCCAUUUGUUCAUUUCUGUUAAAUAAUGCUGACUUCUUAGUGUUUCCUCUGUGAAUGGAAAAAAAAAAGUCAUUACUUGUGCUCCCUCUCUAACUUCUAGAUUCAUCCAUGUUGGUACACAACACUUACUGGUAACAAUGUGUUUCUGGGAAUUGUAUGAAUUGUCAUUAAAUUCAAGGGUCUAAUUCAGGAGAACAUGAGAAAUGUUCUAAAUGGUCUAAAUGAAAAAAACACUCAAACAAAAAAACCAAACAACAGUGCAAUAUUAAAACACAUAAGUAGACAUUUGCCGAAAUUCAUAACCCAAAGAACAUAAAAAUACUGAGUUGGAAGAGUGAUAAACAACAAAGGAGCAGUCAUUGCAUUAAUCAAUAAUUUUCCUCACAAAAGAAAGUCUGAAAUCCUAACAAAUUAAAAGACAUUCUCCUUCAGUUUAUAACAAUCUUAAGGAGUGUGAAAACUCUGACAGUCCCUUUAAACAGUCAUUCAUUGUAAGCAAUGACA